UACGUAGGUGACCAGCGUUGUCCGGAUUUACUGGGCGUAAAGAGCGCGCAGGCGGUCGUUCAAGUCGAGUGUGAAAGCCCCCGGCUCAACUGGGGAGGGUCAUUCGAUACUGAUCGACUCGAAGGCAGGAGAGGGAAGCGGAAUUCCCGGUGUAGUGGUGAAAUGCGUAGAUAUCGGGAGGAACACCAGUGGCGAAGGCGGAUCUCUGGGCCUUACCUGACGCUGAGGCGCGAAAGCGAGGGGAGCAAACAGG
rnacentral:rRNA from 1 species